rnacentral:rRNA from 1 species
CGGGUCUAGUGGCGCACGGGUGCGUAACGCGUGGGAAUCUGCCCUUGGGUUCGGAAUAACUCAGAGAAAUUUGAGCUAAUACCGGAUGAUGACGUAAGUCCAAAGAUUUAUCGCCCAAGGAUGAGCCCGCGUAAGAUUAGCUUGUUGGUGGGGUAAUGGCCUACCAAGGCGACGAUCUUUAGCUGGUCUGAGAGGAUGAUCAGCCACACUGGGACUGAGACACGGCCCAGACUCCUACGGGAGGCAGCAGUGGGGAAUAUUGGGCAAUGGGCGCAAGCCUGACCCAGCGACGCCGCGUGAGGGAUGAAGGUCUUCGGAUUGUAAACCUCUUUCAGUAGGGAAGAAGCGAAAGUGACGGUACCUAAAGAAGAAGCACCGGCUAACUAUGUGCCAGCAGCCGCGGUAAUACAUAGGGUGCAAGCGUUGUCCGGAAUUAUUGGGCGUAAAGAGCUCGUAGGUCGUUUGUCGCGUCGAUUGUGAAAAUCUGAGGCUCAACCUCAGACCUGCAGUCGAUACGGGCAAACUAGAGUGUGGUAGGGGAGACUGGAAUUCCUGGUGUAGCGGUGGAAUGCGCAGAUAUCAGGAGGAACACCAAUGGCGAAGGCAGGUCUCUGGGCCAUAACUGACACUGAGGAGCGAAAGUGCGGGGAGCGAACAGGAUUAGAUACCCUGGUAGUCCGCACCGUAAACGGUGGGCACUAGUUGUGGGAACCUUCCACGGUUUCUGCGACGCAGCUAACGCAUUAAGUGCCCCGCCUGGGGAGUACGAUCGCAAGAUUAAAACUCAAAGGAAUUGACGGGGCCCCGCACAAGCAGCGGAGCAUGCGGCUCAAUUCGACGCAACGCGAAGAACCUUACCAAGGCUUGACAUAUAGGGAAAAGUGACAGAGAUGUCAUGUCCGCAAGGGCUCUAUACAGGUGGUGCAUGGUUGUCGUCAGCUCGUGUCGUGAGAUGUUGGGUUAAGUCCCGCAACGAGCGCAACCCUCGUUCUGUGUUGCCAGCAUUUAGUUGGGGACUCACAGGAGACUGCCGGGGUUAACUCGGAGGAAGGUGGGGAUGACGUCAAAUCAUCAUGCCCCUUAUGUCUUGGGCUGCACGCAUGCUACAAUGGCCGGUACAGAGGGCUGCAAUACCGUAAGGUGGAGCGAAUCCCAAAAAGCCGGUCUCAGUUCGGAUUGAGGUCA